GCAGCAGCCGCGGGAAUACGUAGGGUGCAAGCGUUAAUCGGAAUUACUGGGCGUAAAGCGUGCGCAGGCGGUUUGUUAAGACAGAUGUGAAAUCCCCGGGCUCAACCUGGGAACUGCAUUUGUGACUGGCAAGCUAGAGUGUGGCAGAGGGGGGUGGAAUUCCGCGUGUAGCAGUGAAAUGCGUAGAUAUGCGGAGGAACACCGAUGGCGAAGGCAGCCCCCUGGGCCAACACUGACGCUCAUGCACGAAAGCGUGGGGAGCAAACAGGAUUAGAUACCCCGGUAGUCCCUGUCUCUUAUAC
rnacentral:rRNA from 1 species